ACGCAACGUCGCCCUCGGAAUGGCCGAAGCGUUCACUAACUGACACUCCGGGCAGGACGCGCACUGGCGGCGCACGUCCCCCAAUAAAAUCGGGUCAUUAUCCGGUCUAGUGUUUUCUCGUAUCCCAUUUUGACCAUUUGUCAAAUUACUGUGUACGCCAUUAGCAAUGGCAAAUGUUAUGUAAAAAAGAUACACAAAAUAACUUCUUUAAAAAAAUUGUUUUAAUCAAGGUAAAAUGAGCAUUCCAUGCAAACAACAUUUGAAUCAGCAUGAGGGGUCUGCAGAGAUCACAGUCUCCUAGAGAUCAACUACAGUGCAUAGUGGCAGGACUACAGUGACCUUUUCUUUGGUCUUACUUAAAUGCACAGAGGAUGUAUUAACCACACAUCUUCUAGCAAUGCGCUCAACUGGCAGAAAUGAUGCUGGGUAUGACGUGUCUGUUCCCUGCAAGCCCCAAACUUCUAUUGGCUUUCCAUAAAAAUGUCUGUCCGGGUGGGAAUGAAGCCAGGAAACGUGUGCACGAACAUGUUUAAAUGCCGUACCCUUUGACACAACAUUAACAACUAUAAACUGCUUUAUAAUGGCUGGUCGUAGUUCUGCUAGAGGGUCAAGGACGGGUUCCUCAAAACUGUUAGUGUUUCCACACCACUUAGCAUGAACACAUGCUGACCUUUCUGCUCUGCAUCUGUCGAUUGAGUAAGUUACAUUCAUAUAUGUUACCCGGUUACAUGUCAUGGCAAAACAUUCCACCUCAGUGACACAAGGGUACAUCUGAUGAUACAUUGUCAACAUUGCAUGUAUGUCAGACUCAUCCAAGAUUGUCUGGUGGAAUGGAGAAAGAGGCACCACUGUACAGUUUUCUAGGGAAAGUCGUUCUGCUGACACCAAAACACUGCUUUACAUAAAGCAUAUCAGCUGUUUCAAAGUCCCAACCAUUUGUCUUCCUAAAAUACUGGUCCUUCCGUAUAACAAUAACCUCAUAUGUGAUUGGAGGACCCUUAGACUCCUCGUCCAAUCACGUGUGAGGUCAUAGGCAUGACUGAUACAGCAGUACUUGCAAGACGAGCAUACAAACAGACACGUGUGUGUUACUAUAUUCAGAAGAACUGUAUCUCCAGUUUCUUUGUUUUGUUUUUGCUGGUUCGUGAAUAAUGGCUGGACGACGUCUCGCCUUCAACUCCUCUCCGCGGUCAGCAACUUUCGGCCAGUCCACAGACAGACGAGAAGAAACUGCUGAAUGCUCUCAGUGGAUUGUCUCGUCAACUCCAACAACAAACUGCCGAUAUCAACGAGCGGUUCGCUCCACUGGAGCGUUCGGGACUCUCCAGGUUUCUGUCCAUGGAGGAGAAGUCGGCGGCUCUGGAGGAACUGACUCAAAGAAGAGGAGACGGGCGCACAAUCCCACGAUAGCGGAAGCGGUGCGCCGUCUUCACAACUCCGAGAUGAAUUACAGGCGCUACGAACCGGAGCAAGGACUAAUCUCGCCUCAUAAUGAGGCGGUGACCUCGUAUUUGCUCCGGGAAAAGUCCAGAUUUAGACGACGUCAUUGUGUCCGCCUGUGAGACGUAUUUUGAGACGGUACGCAGGAGCUUUAGGUUCAGCCGGAACACUCAUUGCGGGCGGAAGCUGCGAAGGAUUCAGCGCGGAGUCGAGCGAAGGCUGCUGGAAUCGAGACAAAGUGUGCUGGCUAAUGACGAGGUGGAACUCUGGAAAUCCGCCACCGUAGAGCUCACGUCAGACGGAGAGGAUGGCGUUGUUGGCGGGGUCUCGGGGUGGAUGUUACGG
ensembl:lncRNA